AGAGUUUGAUCCUGGCUCAGGAUGAACGCUGGCGGCGUGCUUAACACAUGCAAGUCGAACGAAGAGCGAUGGGAGCUUGCUCCUAUCAAUCUUAGUGGCGAACGGGUGAGUAACGCGUAAUCAACCUGCCCUUCAAUGGGGGACAACAGUUGGAAACGACUGCUAAUACCGCAUACGAUCGUAAUUCGGCAUCGAGAUACGAUGAAAGGUGGCCUCUAUUUAUAAGCUAUCGUUGAAGGAGGGGAUUGCGUCUGAUUAGCUAGUUGGAGGGGUAACGGCCCACCAAGGCAAUGAUCAGUAGCCGGUCUGAGAGGAUGAACGGCCACAUUGGGACUGAGGCACGGCCCAAACUCCUACGGGAGGCAGCAGUGGGGAAUCUUCCGCAAUGGACGAAAGUCUGACGGAGCAACGCCGCGUGAGUGAUGAAGGUCUUCGGAUUGUAAAGCUCUGUUAAUCGGGACGAAAGAGCCUAGUGUAAAUAAUGCUAGGAAGUGACGGUACCGGAAUAGAAAGCCACGGCUAACUACGUGCCAGCAGCCGCGGUAAUACGUAGGUGGCAAGCGUUGUCCGGAAUUAUUGGGCGUAAAGCGCGCGCAGGCGGAUCUGCCAGUCUGUCUUAAAAGUUCGGGGCUUAACCCCGUGAUGGGAUGGAAACUACAGAUCUAGAGUAUCGGAGAGGAAAGUGGAAUUCCUAGUGUAGCGGUGAAAUGCGUAGAUAUUAGGAAGAACACCAGUGGCGAAGGCGACUUUCUGGACGAAAACUGACGCUGAGGCGCGAAAGCCAGGGGAGCGAACGGGAUUAGAUACCCCGGUAGUCCUGGCCGUAAACGAUGGGUACUAGGUGUAGGAGGUAUCGACCCCUUCUGUGCCGCAGUUAACGCAAUAAGUACCCCGCCUGGGGAGUACGACCGCAAGGUUGAAACCAAAGGAAUUGACGG
rnacentral:rRNA from 1 species